ACUUUCAAAGGAGAGAAGUAAUCCUGUGGCUUUAGGAGC
rnacentral:tRNA from 1 species